rnacentral:rRNA from 1 species
UACGUAGGGGCCUAGCGUUGUCCGGAUUUAUUGGGCGUAAAGAGCUCGUAGGCGGUUUGGUGAGUCGGGUGUGAAAUCUCCACGCUCAACGUGGAGGGGCCACCCGAUACUGCCAUGACUAGAGUCCGGUAGGGGAGUGUGGAAUUCCCGGUGUAGCGGUGGAAUGCGCAGAUAUCAGGAGGAACACCGGUGGCGAAGGCGGGUCUCUGGGCAGUAACUGACGCUGAGGAGCGAAAGCGUGGGGAGCGAACAGG